CAACUGUAUGAAAGAUCCCUGUGGGAAGCUGGCUAAGUACAGUCACACACAGCCUGGAUUUUCAAGUGGUUUUCUACCAUAGACUGUAUCUCCAUUUGUUAUGCUUGGAAAGUGAGAAAGCAUUCAACUGGCAAAGGAAGUGAACAAAAACAAGAUCAAGAAUAAACAUGACUUAAUUAAAAUCAUAAUGAGGUAUCAUCUUACCCCAGUCAGAAUGUCUCUUAUUAAAAAAAAAAAAA
rnacentral:lncRNA from 1 species